rnacentral:ribozyme from 17 species
AAUGUGAAAAGAACGAAAAAGCUGCAUUGGAAAAACUGAAGAAGGUAGGCAUUUCCUCUGACUUUCUUAUGCCGCGUUUGGAUUUCAUCACACUUGUCUUCUUACAUUUUGUUUUCUUCUUUUUUCUCAUUCUGCUUCAUUGGCUUAGGCCAUUAAACAAGGAAACCAUGAGG